AUACGUAGGGGGCAAGCGUUGUCCGGAAUUAUUGGGCGUAAAGCGCGCGCAGGCGGUUUCUUAUGUCUGGUGUGAAAGCCCGCAGCUCAACUGCGGAGGGCCACUGGAAACUGGGAGACUUGAGUGUAGGAGAGGAGAGCGGAAUUCCACGUGUAGCGGUGAAAUGCGUAGAUAUGUGGAGGAACACCCGUGGCGAAAGCGGCUCUCUGGCCUAUAACUGACGCUGAGGCGCGAAAGCGUGGGGAGCGAACAGGAUUAGAUACCCUGGUAGUCCACGCCGUAAACGAUGAGUGCUAGGUGUUGGGGACUCCAAUCCUCAGUGCCGCAGCUAACGCAAUAAGCACUCCGCCUGGGGAGUACGGCCGCAAGGCUGAA
rnacentral:rRNA from 1 species